CGGUGCCACAGUAUCUUAGAAGGAGCAUUUUAUUUUGACUUUCUUUGCAUUUUAUUGAAGGGUUAUUUUAAGUUUCAAUUAAUUUUAUUCCGUUUAGUUCCUUUCUACAUAAGUGCAUAGGAGAACUACAUUUGUCUAUGGUGGCCGGUGAAGUUCAUUUCGCGUUUUCGCGAUUUCGCCUUUCAUAUUCUAUAGGGCGAAAACACGAAAUCGCGAAAAGGGAAAUCGCGAAGUCUAAAACGUGAAAAUGCGAAGUCUAAAACGUGAAAAUGCGAAGUCGAAAACGAGAAAUCGGUUUCGCGUUUUUGACUUCGCAAUUUCGCGUUUUCGCUAUAUAGAAUAUGUAAGGCGAAGAAGCUAAAGCGCUAAAACGCAAAAUGGCAUUAACCUGCCACCAUAGUUGUCCGCAUGUAAACUUCUAGAAUUUGUCACCAAUAUAAGUACAGCGCAAUCCGUUACUGUUUCAACAGCCAUCGGUGUUUCAUGUGUGUAUUCUUAAAAGAGUAUUAUUUUUCUCUCGCUUUUAGCAAUGUAUUACUCUCUACUGUUCUUAUAUAUUAUUCCAGAUUCUCGUGUAUACCAUGAGGGUCCGGAUUGGGGGUAUUGUUUAUUUCUGUAUUCUUUAAAUUGUUAUGUCAUUUUUUUCUACAUUUUAUUUAUCUUACUCGUUAUUCUUUCUUUAUUUUUCAUAUUUUGUCAUCCCAAUAUAUUUUACUUACUGAUGUUUAGUUACAUCUCUGAUUUAUAUUCUGGUUACCAAUGUAGAUGACAAAUGUGUGUCAUUCAUGACAAUUAAACAGAAUCAACAUGAUUUAUGCGAUCAUUCUUGGAUGAAAUUAAUAUUACUUUAAUAUUACACUUUUUGAAACCAUUUUUAUCAAUUUUCAAUUUCAUGUGUUGUUUCCGUAUACGUUAUGUUUCAUUGCUUGAAUGUAUUGUUUUCGUAUAU
rnacentral:lncRNA from 1 species